rnacentral:rRNA from 1 species
GGAGGGCGCAAGCGUUGUCCGGAAUUACUGGGCGUAAAGGGGGCGCAGGCGGCUUGGUAAGUCCUAUGUGAAAGCCCACGGCUCAACCGUGGAAAUGCACAGGAUACUGCCGGGCUAGAGACGGGUAGAGGCGAGUGGAAUUCCCGGUGUAGCGGUGGAAUGCGUAGAUAUCGGGAAGAACACCAGUGGCGAAGGCGACUCGCUGGGCCCGUUCUGACGCUCAGGCCCGAAAGCGUGGGGAGCAAACAGGAUUAGAUACCCUGGUAGUCCACGCCGUAAACGAUGGGCACUAGGUGCUGGGAAGUGUGACCUUUUCGGUGCCCGUAGCUAACGCGUUAAGUGCCCCGCCUGGGGAGUACGGCCGCAAGGCUG